AGCGAACGCUGGCGGCAUGCCUAACACAUGCAAGUCGAACGAACUCUUCGGAGUUAGUGGCGGACGGGGGAGUAACACGUGGGAACGUGCCUUUUGGUUCGGAAUAACUCAGGGAAACGUGUGCUAAUACCGAAUGUGCCCUUCGGGCGAAAGAUUUAUCGCCAUUAGAGCGGCCCGCGUCUGAUUCGCUAGUUGUUGAGGUAACGGCUCACCAAGGCGACGAUCAGUAGCUGGUUUGAGAGGAUGACCAGCCACACUGGGACUGAGACACGGCCCAGAAUCCUACGGGAGGCAGCAGUGGGGAAUCUUGCGAAAUGGGCGAAAGCAUGAAGCAGCUAUGCCGCGUGAAUUAUGAAGGUCUUAGGGUUGUAAAAUUCUUUUACCGGGGAAGAUAAUGACGGUACCCGGAGAAGAAGCCCCGGCUAACUUCGUG
rnacentral:rRNA from 1 species